rnacentral:lncRNA from 1 species
CAGGGUAAGUUAUUUUUCAUUUAAAUUCUGUUAAUUUUCUGUUAUUUUUCAUUUAAAUUCUAUUAAUUUUUCCUCUGACUGGUGUCUGGGGGUAUAGCUCGAUUUUCAUCGGAUCUGUUGGUAGGCAGGCACAAGUUCCUCUAUGGCUGUGGUUCUAGCAAUCUAUUUGUGAUAGUAGUUGCUUGUUGGUACAUUAAGUUCAUAUGUGUCUCAACUAAUAGUAGUUGCUUGCUCUCUUAAUGUUUGGGGUCUAG